rnacentral:rRNA from 1 species
UACGUAGGGCGCAAGCGUUGUUCGGAAUUACUGGGCGUAAAGCGCACGUAGGCGGACUAUUAAGUCAGGGGUGAAAUCCCGGGGCUCAACCCCGGAACUGCCUUUGAUACUGGUAGUCUCGAGUCCGGAAGAGGUGAGUGGAAUUCCGAGUGUAGAGGUGAAAUUCGUAGAUAUUCGGAGGAACACCAGUGGCGAAGGCGGCUCACUGGUCCGGUACUGACGCUGAGGUGCGAAAGCGUGGGGAGCAAACAGG